ensembl:lncRNA
UAAGCAAUGCCUAAGAAGCAAUUUAAGGAUAUAAUACAAGUUUGAAUCAGACAGCCUCUAUGAAUUUAGCUUUCAUUUAUUCAACACAUAUUCAUCUAUUAUUUAUUUACAGAAUGGUAUACAGUGAGCACCAGUUCUGUGCCAGGCACUGCUCCAAGUGUUAAGGGAAUAACAGUGUGUGAAAUGAGGUUCUCAACCUCCUGGCACAGACACCUCUGAGGAAGACAGUGUGGAAGACAGAAAAAUCAGUGGGUCUCUUGGAUUCUGGUCUCCAGGCCCUUGCAGACAUGGCUAGAGAACAAGUGGUCUAAGAGGAAACAAAAUAUGCUCAGGGGCUUGAGAAGAAGCAAGAAUCUCUUCCAAGAGGUGGAACCAGAAAAAGUUUCACGCGUUGGAACUGGACUUGAAGACGGAUAAGACUCAUACACAGCAAAUAGGUGGGAAAGGUUCAAAGCACGCAGGAGUCCUCACCCAGCCAGCUCCUAAGGGCCAGAAAGACCCCACGAAAGUCUCCUCUCCUGCUCUCCCGAGUCGUCAGGGACCAACUUGGGAGGCUGGUAACAAAUCUUUUCAUGCACUUUGGGUGAUUGAGUGACGUCAUCAGUCUUGAUGUGGGAACCACAUAUUGGAUGGGGGCCCAUCCCGCGUCCAUGGAGUGGCCGCAAUAACUACGUUGAUAUUCUUUUUUAAAAAGGUGAUAUUCUUUCAAAACGAUCCAAGAUCUCUGCUCUCUUCUGCUCACUGGAAGACACAGAAAUUUGAGCUGACUUUAGUCAAUCAAUUGCUUCACCCAACUCACAGCCUGUUAAUUCUCCAGAAGUUCAAAACAAUGUGCUUUCCUCCAAUCUCACCCACUGUACCUACAAACCUCUAUUGUACCCACAAGCCUCUACUGCACCUGCCAGCCUCUUCCCUGAGGUCCCGCCUCCCUGUCCUGCCUCACUCUCCUCACCUUCUUGCACAUGCUUCCCCAGUUUCAUCCAUUCAUUCAGCUUCCCUUCUUAUCCUGACAUACCACAGGUGUUCCUGCAUCCCUAUGGUUGUUUAGGAAUGAAGCAUGACUCAGCACACCUUCAAGAUCCUUCCACGCCAAGCUGAAGCCACCUCACCUGAGAAGUCCACCCUGAUGAUCCCCAGACCUAUUACUCUCUUCCAGAGCUUACUGGUUAGGGAGAACAGGUUCCAUCUGGCUUCAAAUCCUGACUUGGCCUCUAUAUGACCUUAAGAAGAUUGCCAACCAGUUUGUCUCCAUUUGCUUAUCUGAAAAACAGAGAUGUUUUCACUUACCUUAUGGGGUCGCUCUAAGUAUUAAAUGAGAUCAAUUAAGCAAAGUGCUGUGAGCAGUGCCUGGGGUCCUGCAUGCACGGUUUAGUCAGAGGGCCGAUGAGCUGACUUCCACGUGCUGCCUUGGUGGAGAAGCGGGUUGGCCCUGUCCAGCCUCUUAUAGUUAAUUCUCCUGAAAAGGCCUGAUGGAUGAUCUCAAGCCUGUAGUCAUGAAGAGGCCACUACUUUGAGCCUGCAGACCCUGUCAAGAAACCUAGUCAUCUGGGGCUGUGGAGGAGGCAGUGCUGGGAGUCUGCACGGGUGACCACACACAGAGAAACGCCUGGCUUGUCCCAGUGGGAUUUAAUUCAGCUGUCGAAGUUCAGUGCUGGGACCAUGCCCUUCCACGGCCCAGAUCCACUGCUUCUUGAGCCCCUCUGUACCCAGCCCUGUGGGAGCAGUCUCCUUGGGGCACGCAGAAGCCAAGUGGGGGGAUCAAAUUGGUCAAAUUCAUAUGAAAACUUCAGAUUUUCAGAAAACCAUCCUUAACUAGGCCAAAAGAAGUUUCUCAUGUAUUUUAAUAUUAGCACUUAUUCAGAUUCCUUAAGGGCAGAAAGUUUGUCUCCUUCAUUUUGUAUCCUCAGUACCAAGCGCAGGGUCUAGCACAAGAUAGGCGGCCCACCGCCGUCGUUGUUAAUAGAGUGGUUAGUGAAGGCAUUUGAUCAGAUUCCUAAAUACUUCGAUAUUCUGCCUGAUACCACUGGCCUGUUUUUUUACGAACAUAUUAAUGCAUAUAUAGUUCAGCUAAAAUAUAGUAUUUGGUUUUAUAGACUCAAAAACCUUAUUUAUAGAAUUGCUUCUAUCUGACCUUUGUCACCUGUAAAAAUGGCAGUUCCACGUGGUUCAACUUCGUAACUUAAUUUGGUUUUAUAGUAUUUAUAUUUUUCAAGGCAUAUUCUUUCUAGAGGGGGAGAAAAUUCUCCUCUCCCCUCUUAGGGUCUCCAGCUGAGCCUAAGAACUAAACUGACAUAAGGCGGACUAACAGCAGAAAAGCAUCCAAAUUUUAUUAAAUUUUUAUACGUACACGGGAGAGUUCACAAGCUGAUGAGAU